rnacentral:rRNA from 1 species
AUACGUAGGGGGCGAGCGUUGUCCGGAAUGACUGGGCGUAAAGGGCGCGUAGGCGGUUGUUUAAGUUAGGAGUGAAAGUCCAGCUUUUAAGGUUGGAAUAGCUUUUAAUACUGGAUGACUUGAGUGCGGAAGAGGUAAGUGGAAUUCCCAGUGUAGCGGUGAAAUGCGUAGAGAUUGGGAGGAACACCAGUGGCGAAGGCGACUUACUGGGCCGUAACUGACGCGGAGGCGCGAAAGCGUGGGGAGCGAACAGGAUUAGAUACCCUGGUAGUCCACGCGGUAAACGAUGAAUGCUAGGUGUAGGGGGUAUCUACCCCUUCUGUGCCGGAGCAAACGCAAUAAGCAUUCCGCCUGGGGAGUACGGCCGCAAGGUUGAAACUCAAAUGAAUUGACGGGG